UACGUAGGGUGCAAGCGUUGUCCGGAAUUAUUGGGCGUAAAGAGCUCGUAGGCGGUCUGUCGCGUCGGCUGUGAAAACCCGAGGCUCAACCUCGGGCCUGCAGUCGAUACGGGCAAACUAGAGUACUGCAGGGGAGACUGGAAUUCCUGGUGUAGCGGUGAAAUGCGCAGAUAUCAGGGAGGAACAGCCGGUGGGCGGAAGGCGGGGUCUCUGGGC
rnacentral:rRNA from 1 species